UGCGCCCGCUGGGUCCGGCGCUGAUGCGCCAUUUCUGGGGCGUCUGGUGCGCAUGCGCAGUUGCAGGUCGGAUUUCCGGGGAGCCGCGGGCGCGUCUGGUGCGCAUGCGCAGUUGCAGGUCGGAUUUCCGGGGGAGCCGCGGGCGAAAAAGAUUGGGAACCUCUGCACCAGACCAUAUAAACACAGUCAAAGGCUUGAAAAUGUAUAGUAUCAAUAUGACUUUGCGUCUGGACUCUAAAGCAUCUUAAUUUCCUGGAAUGUCUGACUUUUACUUCUACUGGAUAACACCUUGCUGCUUAUCACUGAAAAUUGUAAUUUUUCAUGUUUAUAUUUCAGCCUCUGGACUUGUUUCUGAAUUAUGGUUUGGCCCACUGACCUUACUACAAGUGCAUUGUACUGUUUUUUUUUAUCCAAUCUUGCUACCGAAAGAGGAUAAUAUUUAGCUGUACACCAAAAUAUCAGGGCAGCUUUGAAGUGAUAAGGCACUCCAGUGAGAAUCAAGUCAGUGGUAAGAACAAUGUGACUUUGUUAUGUAUACAAACAAUGUAUACAAACAAUGUAUAAUGUUGUUAUACAUUAAGAAGCUCCUUAGAUAUUAGAGCCCUGGUGAGCAGUGGUUAGAAUGCAGUAUUGCAAGGCUGCUUCUGCUGACUGUAGGCUGCCAGCAAUUCGGCAGUUCGAAUCUCACCAAGUUGACACAGCCUUUCAUUCUUCUGAGGUGGCAGGGGUGAAAUUCAAAAAUUUUCUCUACCGGUUCUGUGGGCAUGGCUUGGUGGGCGUGGCAGGGGAAGGAUACUGCAAAAUCUCCAUUCCCUCCCCACUCCUGGGGUAAGGAUAUUGCAAAAUCUCCAUUCCCUCCCCACUCUGGGGCCAGCCAGAAGAGGUAUUUGCUGGUUCUCUGAACUGCUCAAAAUUUCUGCUACUGGUUCUACAGAACCUGUUAGAACUUGCUGAAUUUCACCCCGUGAGGUGGGUAAAAUGAGGACCCAGAUUGUUGGGGGGGGGGGCAAGAGGCUGACUUUGUAAACCGCUUAGGGAGGGCUGUAAAGCACUGUGAAGCGGUACAUAAGUCUAAGUGCUAUUGCUAUAUUACAAAUAAUAUUUGUAUUGCUAUAAUACAAAUAAUACUGGUAUGUGAAGGAAUGGCUUGAGACAGACUUGGGGAAACAACUGCCUGAGGACUAGUAGCACUGCAGAAAGUGGUUAUCCUUAAAUUUCCUAUAGUGUCAUAGUCCAAUGUGAUAUGGAAGCAUUGUAGGACAUUUAAGUAAAGACCAGACCCAAUUAUAGGGGGCUGAUUGAAACGUUGGGCCAGAAACAACAGUUUGGGAGAAGUGCUUUGGCCUUUCUUGAUUAACUACAGGACAGGGAUCACCAACCUUUUGAACCUCAGGGACCACUAAAUUCAUAAUUUUAAAUCCCACGGACCACUAAUAUGAUCUGCCUAAUGACCGGCUGGGUGGGCGUGGCAAGGUAGUCAUGUGACUGGGUGGGCGCGGCCAACUCGAUGUCACUCAUGUCGAGGGGUGCCUUUGCAGCCUCUACUCGCUAAUCCUCGCCUGCCCACCCGGGUUCCUUAGGGCCCCAACAGGAAGCAGUUGCUGGAGCUAAGCAGCCACCAUGAGAAAGAGUUGACAAAACAGCUGGCUCAGUUCAAACUGGAUCUGACCGAGAAGGAGGCUCAGCAGAAGCACCUCACUGAGGACUACGAGCAUAGGCUUUCCAAGCAGAGGGAAGACCUGUGGGAGUGCAAGGCCAGGUAACGGUGCCUGGAGGCUCAGCGGGCUAAGAUGAUCAGCCAAUUCCAGGCCAUGAUGCAGUUCCACUGGAACAAGGCCCUCCGGUUCUUUGCCACCAGUGGCUCUUCCCCUUAGCCUUCACCCAAAGCCCCACACCAGGAGGCUGAAGCAGACCUCAAGUUGGAAUUUCUGCCCCCCUCUGAUUCACACAAAAAGUCCUCAAAGGGAGAGACUCUCUGCAGCAACACAAACAUUCAUUGCACGUAUCUGUCCCAGGGGCUGUAGUUUCAGGACCCCUGAUUUUAUGGCAAUAUAACAAAUGCAAAUAAUUUUUCUGGGGACCACCAAAAUUUUCUCAUGGACCACCAGUGGUCCAUGGACCAGCAGUUGGUGACCGCUACUCCAGGACACAUGGAUUAUGAUCUUCUCAAACUGUCGUCCCAGAAAGAAGAACAAAAGUCACACCAGGCACUAAGCAGGCUUAAAUAUGUACCAGAACAAUGCAUGUACCCUGGAGAAGUUCAAAUGAAGACACGUUAAAUUACCCGGAAGAGCCUCAUGAAUGUAGCACUUGUAGCAAUAUCCUUAGAGUGAAUUAUGGCUUCCAAGAGGCCUGUUUUCGACAACUGGUUAUGAUUAGCAUGUGUUGCACUUGGAACAGGGCCAGUAGCUUUCAAUAUUUCAUUUUCAGCUGCGGGGACAGCCAGUUCUAGGAUCUGCCAUGCCUUUCCUUGAGUCUUGCCUCACUGCUUAGCUAAGGUGACCAAUCGUCCUCCUUUAGGGAGGACAGUCCUUCUUCUGUAAGUUCUGUCCUCUCUCGAAAAGUGUCCUCCUACAUGUCCUGCUUUUCAAUAUUUGAAGACUAAUCUGUAAAUCUCCAUAUUCGAUCGAUGCCAAUCCGAUCCGUUGCAUGUGAUGUGAUGCAUUUGUAUUUGACAUGACGAUUUGUCAAGACUCGGUACAGUGCAGCGAGACACAAUUAUGAAACGCAUGCGCUCCGCACAAGAUAAUUGUUUUGAGAGAGUGUGCCACGUGCAAGAGUCCGCCACACGCAAGUGACUUUUUUACUUCUUACCGAAACACGACACGGCACACACGCAGACAUUAGACUCCCUUCUUUCUCAGUGAAUAUUCAAUCAUACUCUGGUGUGAUGAUACUGCUCAGGUGGGAUUGAUGCUUUCGGCAUAGUUUCUCUGCCUCCAUCCAGGUUCUACCGUACAGCUUUGAUCGAGGUAUGCAUCCGGAAAUAGAUGCUUAGGGAACGAAGUGUACCAAAGAGAAGAAGCACUUGAAUAAAAUGCAUAUUUUUCAGGGAAAAUUGCCUGCAACAAAGGAUGUGAUUUUUUUCAAGUGGCAGUUGUAAUUGAGGUUGAGGGAGAGUCGCCUAUAGAUUUAGCUAAAAGGUUUUCUUUGCUUAUGAAAAAUGGUAACGCAAAUAAUCAGGUAUCUUAGAGCUUCAGAGAGAGAGACACACACACACAACA